rnacentral:rRNA from 1 species
CCUACGGGAGGCAGCAGUGAGGAAUAUUGGUCAAUGGCCGGAAGGCUGAACCAGCCAUGCCGCGUGAAGGUCAGUGCCCUAUGGGCGUUAAACUUCUUUUGUGCGGGAGCAAUAAUGGUCACGUGUGGCCAGACGAGAGUACCGUACGAAUAAGCAUCGGCUAACUCCGUGCCAGCAGCCGCGGUAAUACGGGGGAUGCAAGCGUUAUCCGGAUUUAUUGGGGUUAAAGGGUGCGUAAGCUGUGAGGUAAGUCAGCGGUGAAAUGCCGCCGCUCAACGGGGUGAAGUGCCAUUGAUACUGCCUUGCUGGAAUGCGGAUGCCGUAGGAGGAAUGUGUGGUGUAGCGGUGAAAUGCAUAGAUAUCACACAGAACACCGAUUGCGAAGGCAUCUCACGAAUCCGCGAUUGACGCUGAUGCACGAAAGCGUGGGUAUCAAACAGGAUUAGAUACCCGGGUAGUC